GUUAAAGAAACUCCCUACUUUAUCAACCGAAAAAGAAAACUUAGUUAUCAAAAUUAUUAAUGAUAAUACUUUGUUAUAUUCAUACUUUACUAUAUGUUAUUUUAUCACAUCGUACAUGUAUUUUAACUAUUCUAUUUUAUUAUCAACGUAAUUCUUUUUGUAACUAGUCAGUUAGAGACGGGAAUCUAAAGUAUCGAGACGUAUCAAACAUAAUAAUAUUUGAUCGGAAUCUAUUGUAAAGUUCAGUUCAGCGUUAAAGUGUUAAAUAAAUAAGUUAAGUUAUAAAAUAAAGUGUUUACUAUAUUAUAAGAGUUAUUGAAUCAUUAGAAUUAACUAUCAAGACCCCCACAAAUUGGUGAUCUCGACAUGAUUUUCUCGAAAUGCCAUUACACCAUUCUCCGACAAGAGAAAUUUAAUCGGCCUUCGCAAUCAAGAAGAUAAUAUGUCUUUUCAUGAUAACAAGAUAACAUGUCUUGUCACGAAAAUCUUUAGAAACCCAUUGACUAGAGAUAAAUAUGAGACUCUGAAAGCGCGUAUUAUAUCUUCGUUUGAUAAGUUUAGCGAAUCCAAGUUGAGGGCUCUUCUUCGCAAUAAUGAAUUUUUGGACGAAAAACCAUUUUCUAUAACGCUUAAGAAAUCUAGUGGAUGGGUUAUGUAAUAAGAGCGUUUUAGGACCUUCAUCCUUUAACAACCUCCAAAUAACGAUCGGGCGAUUCUUGCAAUCAGUGAUGUUCAAGAUUUGUCACGACUAACCCAUAAAACGGAAUACGCAAUUUCCAUGAAGGAAAAACUAAGCCGAAAAAAUAAAUCCCGAUCUUUCGACAUACGACGAUAUUCGUAGAAAUUCGAUUUUCAUAGGAAUUUCUAAUAGCUGACAUUAACCUCUUAGGUACGGUUGAAUUUUGUGCAGGGCUGUUUCUCUGUAUCUCAGAUUUUGACGCGUAAACGAUACAGCACUGCAAUGUUUGACUAAUAAUGCUGUUCUCUACGCAAACACAUUGGAAUGAAGUUUUUGAUAAAUAAAUUAUAAUUUUUCUUAAAGAUCUGAUAGAUAAUGCAUAUACUUUAACUUUAAUAAUUUACUUUAAUAAUUAAUAAUACAAUUGAAUGUGAUAUAUUUUAAAAUACGGUACGACACAUAGAACUACGUCACAAUUUUCACAUUUAUAACGCGAUAGUGUUUUUCAAAUUGCUCUUCAUUUUCUAUUUUGAAGCGACAUUCUGAGGUUGAGGAUUCUAAAAAAUUACAAGGAUACGGAUCGACAUGUUAAACAGAGUAUCUAAUAAUGGUAUAUUUAUUUUAACGAAAAGUAACAAUUGACAUCUGACACUGGUGUAUCAAAAAUAAAGACUAUAUAUUCUGGCUGCAUAUUGUUAACACUGUUAUAAAACAUUGCAAGGAUAAAAAAAGUGUGAAGCAAGACAAAUGAAAUACAUCAUUUAGUUUAAACGAUAAGUGAAUGAGUCAGUAGAGUGAGCCACUAUAGUGGCGCGUCGUAAUAUAAUACCCGCAAAAGCCACUAUAGUGGCGCAUCGUAUCGAAGAGGUUCAUCAGAGUACCAUAGGCGCUGAUUUUUUCUAAGAUGUUAUGGUUUUUAAGAUGAUAUAUAAAAUCUAUGGGUAGAUUUAAGCAGUAACAGAAUUAUCAACGGAAACACACAAUUAAGUUUUCAUUUUCAUUUUCAUUCGGUUUCAUUAGGCGAAUAAAUAUUAUUUCCACGAUAGACCACUCAAAUAAGUACAGCAAACUGUUACACAAAUUUAUUGAUAUUACUAAAUCACAAAGACACGUGUUCAGAACAGGUGGCAUCAGUAUUUCAUUUGCACUAAAGGAUAACCAAUCGCAAAAAAACACGGGAAAGAAGGAUUCAAGGAUACGACCAGGAAGGAGAUUUGCCAACUGUCCUUAAAUCAAUGGGCGAGCCCUUUUCACAUGAUAUCUAAAAAGAAUGGUGAAUGGCGACUUUGUGAGGGCGGACGCUGAAAAAUUCUUCAAAGGGUAGGUUUCACGAUCCGAAAUACCCGAAACUAUCACAACUGAUAGGGUUUCAAAGGACAAGGUUCUCCAUCGUCGGAUGUCAACAAUGUACCAACUACUGUCUACCACCUAGCGUCAAACGGAUUGGUCGAACGGUAGCGUCGCUCACUGAAAACCGCAUUAGGAUGUCACAAUAAUGAAAAUUGAGUGGGGAUAUUACCAGUCGUUUUACUUAGAAUCAAAUCGCGUACAAAGACGAACGAAGAAAUUCAAAGAAGAUGUUGGAGCCUCACAAGCUGAAUUACUAUACGAAACAAUAUUACAUUACAUUAAAUAUAUGUGUAUAUACUUGAUUUAGGGGAUGCAAUUUUGUUAACUUUUUUUUUUAUUGAAGAUAAUAAUGCAUAUUUAAUAAUGAUUUAUAAUUAAUAUUUACUUAAACAGCAGUUUUCUGUACCAAAUGAAACCCUGUAUACAUACUUAUUUUAAAUAAAUUGUGAAAAAUUAUGAA